rnacentral:misc_RNA from 1 species
AACGCACCUUGCGCACCUUGGUAUUCCGAGGAGCAUGCCUGUUUGAGUGUCUUGAAGUCAUCAACUCCUCCCUCUUUUUCCGAAAAGGGCUCGGAGUUGGAUGUUGGGGGUCUGCGGCCCACCGGCCGCUCCCUUCAAACGCAAUUGGGUUUUGGGCCUGCGGGGUCGAACUCUCGACUGGGUGUUGUACGAUCCUCACUCUGGUCGCGGUGUUUUCCCGCCUCGAGCGCCCUGCCCGGGACCCCGCCCCCCUGGAGCGGCGGUCAAGCUCCAACUUCUUUGAAAUCUGACCUCAAAUCAGGUAGGACUACCCGCUGAACUUAA